CGCGUCUUGCGGCAACGCAAGGCGUGAUGGGGCAGAAGUCAGCAGAGGCCAUAGUAGCCGUGGGCACGCGGAGAAGGGC
rfam:Nitrococcus mobilis Nb-231 scf_1099646003885 genomic scaffold, whole genome shotgun sequence.